rnacentral:rRNA from 1 species
UGGGGAAUUUUGGACAAUGGGGGAAACCCUGAUCCAGCCAUCCCGCGUGUGCGAUGAAGGCCUUCGGGUUGUAAAGCACUUUUGGCAGGAAAGAAACGUCGCGGGUUAAUACCCCGCGAAACUGACGGUACCUGCAGAAUAAGCACCGGCUAACUACGUGCCAGCAGCCGCGGUAAUACGUAGGGUGCAAGCGUUAAUCGGAAUUACUGGGCGUAAAGCGUGCGCAGGCGGUCCGGAAAGAAAGAUGUGAAAUCCCAGAGCUUAACUUUGGAACUGCAUUUUUAACUACCGGGCUAGAGUGUGUCAGAGGGAGGUGGAAUUCCGCGUGUAGCAGUGAAAUGCGUAGAUAUGCGGAGGAACACCGAUGGCGAAGGCAGCCUCCUGGGAUAACACUGACGCUCAUGCACGAAAGCGUGGGGAGCAAACAGGAUUAGAUACCCUGGUAGUCCACGCCCUAAACGAUGUCAACUAGCUGUUGGGGCCUUCGGGCCUUGGUAGCGCAGCUAACGCGUGAAGUUGACCGCCUGGGGAGUACGGUCGCAAGAUUAAAACUUAAAGGAAUUG